rnacentral:lncRNA from 1 species
UUUGCCCCUCUCUUUGGAUGCUAACUCUUCCCACUGUUACUUUUCUACAGGGCGAUCGUCUGUAUCCAACCAGCUUGGUUAGGCUGGUUGCGGGGCCGCCAUGUGAUGCACGGCUUCGGUCUUCGGGAUUCGUUUGGGGCGUCGAUUUCCAUUUGGGAUGGCGCUUUGCGAAUCUCACCGUUCGUUUAGUCUUCAUCUAAUCUCUCCUGUAGUUCGUUCAGCCAUUCCAAAGUUCGUCUGAGAGGUUUUCAAUUAGAGCUUUGUCCCUUGGUUGUCCAUUGCAUCGUUUGUCUUCAGGUAUGCAUCCCGUAAACUUUUUAACAGAUAUUUUGGUCUUCAUCUGAAGAAUUUGUUUGUUGACUGGGAGAUUUUUUGUCAAGAGACUUUCUUUCUUUUAGUGGUUUGAUGUUCAUUCGACAGUUGAAGGCUCUGAAAGCAAGCUAAUAUAUAGAGUGACAGUAAUUAUAAAUAGAUGGAUCAUGGAUCUUGGUGCAAUUUUCUCUGUUUUUUUUGGGGCUAUUUUUUAUGCUGUUUUGAUUCAUGGGUUGGUUUUUAUGUAUUUUGUUUUUAGAAGUUGGACUUUUUGGAAUUUGAUAUUGAUAUGGGAAUUGAAAGCUUCAGUUCAGGAUAAUGCUUUUCAGUGUGUGUGUUUUUUUAAUAUGUCAGUCAGAGACUUGAAUCUUAUCUGCAUAAUAUUUCUCCUCCUUUCUGUUUCUUUUGGAUUAAACCUGAAAAAAAAAAAAAAAAAACAAGUGUCCAAUGCAAUGCAAUUGAGACUCUACUUAAUGAAAUUGUUCUCUGGCUUUUCCUUAUCUGAAAAAUGCCAAUUUUCCAUGGAAACAAAGGAAAUUAGGAUAUUAUAUAGAAACAAAAGAAAUUGUUGUGUUAUGUAUUGCAAUACAUUUAGUGAAAAAACUUUUUUUUAAUAAAUGUUUUUUUUUUUCUUUUUCCAAUUCAUAGUGGAAAUAACUUUAAAGUGGGAAAAGAUCAUCAAUUUUUAACAAUGAGGAUGAGAUUUUUUUUAAAAAAAAGGUUGGCUACAUAUCAAAACACUGUUAAAGAUGUAGCACAUGUGGCACUAAUUACACAAAUUGUGUAAUGAUCUAUUGUUGUUAAUAUUUGCUUUCUUAUUUUAUUUUUUGUUUUUCUGUUCAUGUUUUUUUAUACUAAUUUUAUGUAAUAUUUACUGAUUUGGUGAUGUCAUGUUAGAGAUGUUCAAAGUUUGAGCACUACCUCCAAUAUUUGAAUUCUAAUUCUGAAUUUUAAUUAUUCUCUCUUUCUAAGUUUGAACACUACCUCUAUUAUCUGGAACAAAUUGGCAAAACACAAAACACAUUUCAAUUGAGAUAAAAUUUGACCAUGCAGAGAGCUUCUUUGUCUGAGGUUUGGAGGUGUAAGAGGAGUUGGGGUUGCACUAAUUUUUGUUUGUGGUAUCAUGGAGUCACACAGUCAUUUAAUGUUAUUGAUUACAUCUGUUUUGCUUGGUUAGGCUAUAGAAGCUCUGUUUAAUUAGUUUUUGGAUAUUGCGUUGUUUGAAAAUUCUUAUUUCUAUAGUUGUGCUAUUGUUGGUGUGUGUCCAUUUUGCUUCACUAGGCUAUAGAUGUAAUUAAGAAAUAAUAGUUUAAUUCAUGAAAGAUUUUUUCCCUUCCCAACUAUUGAUCUGUUGGUCGAAGUUUGAAACAUCGUUAUUAAAUGUUUUAAAUAUAAUUAACAAAACUAUAACCUAUAGCGUCUUAUCUCUACCUUUAUUCUACUUCUAUAACAUAGAGUUGUUUAUACAUCAUUGCUGCUUCUAUAGCUUACUUCUCCACUAGAUUAUCUUACUUCUAUAACAAAUUUGCUCAUUAGGUCACUAGAUCAUCUUAUUUCUGUUUAUAGGUUAUUAGAUAUUUUUAGAUCAUUUAAAUUGUGGUUUGUGCAGUAUGUGUUGUUGGCCUUAAUUCUAUAACAAUAGCCAUUGUUUUUGCACAAAUUUUCUCAUUUGUCGACACGGACACCUACCGUUUACCAAGUUUAUACCAAUAGGGUCAACACCCCUUGAGUUGAUUCUAUUAAAAUUGUCACAAUUGUUUUCAGUUUAUUUUCAAUUGAUUCAAUAAAAUUCACCUUAUACUUUUAUCCAUCAGAGUUAAAACCUCUUGAAUGGAGAAGAAGGAACAUCAGCCAGCUACACAACAAAUGCAGCAAUAGCCCUUGCAAGAAACAUCAAAAAAGCAAAAUCCAUGCCCACCACCGAUUAAAAUAUAGAUAAAUGCCUGUACUGUUAUA